UUGAAUAAAUACCACUAAUUAUUUUACAUCUAUAAUAUUUCAGACAUUUGAUUUGUUUUAACAUCCAAUGUAGAGUUUUAAAAGUUAAAAAUAAAUGUGAUGCUGCUUAAAGAUAUAAUUAGCUUGACUUAAACUGUACUGUAUAAUGUGAACAUUUACAAGUACUUCAUACAUUUCACUUGAAUUUACAUCUGUUAUUAUUGCUCUUUCUUUGUAGGCUCAAGUGGAAGGCGAAUGCUGCUGUUCUUCCUUGAGCUUAAAGACAUCGGACUACAGAGUGCUGCUCCGGACACUGCAGCAUUUUCAAGAUCAGUCAUCAAAAAGCUGCUAUUUUUUCGGUCUGUGAGAAAUCAACACAGAAGAUGGCUACUCCCCAGAGAUUUGUGCUACGUGUAUAUGUUGCAACAGAUGUUGCCAUGAAACUUACUCUAACGGAGCGACCAACCUCUGUAGAAGAGCUUAUGGACGUAAUGAAAGAGAAGUUCAGGCCAAGACUGGAUGGUGACUUUACCUUGCAAUAUGAGGAUCCUGACUUCGGCGGUCAACUUACUGUUCUUGCGGAUAUUCAGGAGUUGCCUGAGAAGGGCACAUUGAGAAUACUGAGAUCUGAAAGUGAUGCCACCUCAACCGGAAGUUCCGAUACAGACAUACUCCCACAUGUACCUUUAACACAGCGUCAGAAGAACUGUCCGGAUUGUUUCCCUCUGCCUACUUUUUCAUAUGAAGUGCAGCAUGUACUCGAAGAAGGAAAUGGUGUUUUUGAGAGAUCCAGAAAGAAUGUGAAUUUGACAAGGUCCCAAAAGCACAACAUCCUGGAAAGCAUGGCUGAAACCAUGCACAGCUUCAAACCAUAUCCAAAUGACAGUGAAGUGGGUAAGGCUGCUGAAGCUCUGAUUAAAGCUCACCCGUGUCUCACAGAGUAUGGCAGCAAAAGUGGAUGGUAUGGAUGGAAGGUCUGCUUGAAGUUCAAGAUGGGGAACUACCGUACCAAGCUUGCCAGAGCUGGGUGCGCUGAGGUGUCAGUUAACGCAGGCAGGAGGAGCGUAAACAACCCGGACAGAGAACAUCCCCAUUCAAACAUAAGGAGAGCCAGGCGGGCUGAAGUAAACUUCCUACCCAACUUUCCAAGAGGAGAGAACGAGGCCACUCUGGAAC